UACGGGGGGGGCAAGCGUUGUUCGGAAUUACUGGGCGUAAAGGGCUCGUAGGUGGCCAACUAAGUCGGACGUGAAAUCCCCAGGCUCAACUUGGGAACUGCGUCCGAUACUGGAUGGCUUGAAUUCGGGAGAGGGAUGCAGAAUUCCAGGUGUAGCGGUGAAAUGCGUAGAGAUCGGGAGGAACAUCAGUGGCGAAGGCGGCCAUCUGGGACAACACUGACGCUGAAGCACGAAAGCGUGGGGAGCAAACAGG
rnacentral:rRNA from 1 species